rnacentral:lncRNA from 1 species
AUGAAUCGUCACGAAAGCUGGCAGGAGAAGAAGAAAACAGAACAAGCACUAGCAGCGUUAUCCUUCCCUCCACCACAGAGGGAAGGAAGGGAAGCAGAGCGCAAUGAGGAAAAAGACAAGAGUGAUGAAAGAGAGACACACAUAAAUAUUCGUAUGCGUGCCAGAGGAGUGAAAGAGGCAGCCAGGCUCGACUUGAAUCGAAUAAAGGCAGAGGAGUGGACCCCCUGCCGCUUUCCCAUCAUAGCAGAAUUCACUCAGCAUUGUGAAUUCUGGCUACGGCAUCCACACGCAGAUAUACUCUGUCUGUUUAUGCAUGUGUGCUUCUCCGUGUAUGGCUGCAACCUUUAGGUAGCUGGUGCCACAACAAGCUAACAAUAAAGAAUGCACAUAACCCUGAAAUUGAUGUUUAUAUAAAUACCUCUAUUUAUCCAUUUAUUUUACCUUCCAUUUAUGAUGAAUAAUCUUUAGGUUAGAGUAAUGGUGGUUGACCUCAAAAAAACUGCAGUAUAGUAUAAUCAUUAUCCAGAGGACUAAUGGCUUAUUUAUAUAUUAAUGUUAUAUGAGAUGUAUUUUCUGCCAUAAAAAUGAUAGUGCUACUUGCUUUUUCAUGCUGAAGGAAUUACAUUUUAUGUAAUGUGUAAUGUUUUGUGCUGUAAAGCACACCAGCAGAUUGACAAAAUCUACACAUGGUUAAAUGCAGUUAAAAGGCUGAAGGAGGCUGCCAGCCAUCUUGAUGAUAGAACUCCUUGUUUACAGUAAUAAUACCAAAGUCUCGGAAUUAAUGUGUUAUUGACUUAUUGAUGAUAAAACGCCACACAUAGUACAUUUACUUAACAAGAC